AGAUGAUUUAGUACUAUAGGUACUCUCACUAGAAGUGGCCGUUAGAUAUUCAUCUGUUCACAGUUAGACAAACUGUCUAUAAAUGGAGAUGAUUUAGUACUAUAGGUACUCUCACUAGAAGUGGCCGUUAGAUAUUCAUCUGUUCACAGUUAGACAAACUGUCUAUAAAUGGAGAUGAUUUAGUACUAUAGGUACUCUCACUAGAAGUGGCCGUUAGAUAUUCAUCUGUUCACAGUUAGACAAACUGUCUAUAAAUGGAGAUGAUUUAGUACUAUAGGUACUCUCACUAGAAGUGGCCGUUAGAUAUUCAUCUGUCCACAGUUAGACAAACUGUCUAUAAAUGGAGAUGAUUUAGUACUAUAGGUACUCUCACUAGAAGUGGCCGUUAGAUAUUCAUCUGUUCACAGUUAGACAAACUGUCUAUAAAUGGAGAUGAUUUAGUACUAUAGGUACUCUCACUAGAAGUGGCCGUUAGAUAUUCAUCUGUCCACAGUUAGACAAACUGUCUAUAAAUGGAGAUGAUUUAGUACUAUAGGUACUCUCACUAGAAGUGGCCGUUAGAUAUUCAUCUGUCCACAGUUAGACAAACUGUCUAUAAAUGGAGAUGAUUUAGUACUAUAGGUACUCUCACUAGAAGUGGCCGUUAGAUAUUCAUCUGUCCACAGUUAGACAAACUGUCUAUAAAUGGAGAUGAUUUAGUACUAUAGGUACUCUCACUAGAAGUGGCCGUUAGAUAUUCAUCUGUUCACAGUUAGACAAACUGUCUAUAAAUGGAGAUGAUUUAGUACUAUAGGUACUCUCACUAG